rnacentral:rRNA from 1 species
AUGUCGACUACAUCAACAUGUGUGCUUUGCGGUGCCAGAGAUUCAUGGAGGCAUUCUUUCCUUGAGUGCCCGAUGGCAAGCAGCGUGUGGGCUCUAUCUGACGAUUCUCUUGUCGAAAAUAUGAGUCAGCAUGAUGGUGAGAAUGCAAGGGAAUGGAUUUUCGCACUGAAGGAUGCUCUCUCGCAUGAACAUUUUGUUCGUAUGACCGUUACCUUGUGGGCAGUGUGGGUUGCUAGAAGGAAAGCUAUAUAUGAAGAUAUCUUCCAGAGCCCGUCCUCAACACACUCUUUUAUUAACUCCUUCCUGGGCGAUCUUCAAGUGGUCAAGAACAUGAGCAGUACUGUGGUGCAGGCCAGAACGGCGCGACCGACUCAGUGGCUGCAGCCGCUGUUGGGCACAUCCAAAAUAAAUGUUGAUGCGGCCUGCAUGGGAAGUUCAAGCAUUGGCGCGGUAGCAGCGGUGUGCAGGAGCAUGGAAGGUAUUUUUCUGGGUGCGUCCACUGUUGUAUUCAAGGGUAUCUCCGACCCUACAACACUUGAAGCGAUGGGAGUCAGAGAAUCGAUGGCACUAGCUGUGGAUCUCCAGUUGCAAGCGAUUCAUGUGGCGACGGACUGCAUGGAAGUGGUGAACGAUAUCAAGCAGAAGAGUAGCCCGAGCUAUGGGGCCAUUAUACAUGAAAUCAUAGAGUACUCUGGUAGUUUUAAUUUAUGUGAUUUUGUUCAUGAGUUUAGGAGCUCGAAUGUCGAAGCUCACAAUCUAGCGAAGCAUGCUUUGGGACUGGGGACCGGUCGCCAUGUCUGGUUAGGCCACCCCGGUGAUCUUUCUUUUGUCCCUGUAAACAUUGUGACGGAUUAA